CUCAGCCACAGGCUGGCAAGGGUUUGAAAGCUCAUCUGAUGCCACAAUCCUGCAUCUCAGCUUGGGCUCAUGGAUGGAGAGGCGCAAGUGCUUCUGAAACAGCACCAAACAUCUGUUACCAAAGAAAAGACCAAAACAGCACGGAUUGAGUGUAUGGCUGAGGGCAUAACCAACUUCCAGGCUGCUUAUAUACACUGGUACCGGCAUAUUCCUUCCAAAGGUCCUGAAUGGCUUCUGUAUAUCAAAUCAGCAGAAGAAAUUACUUAUGAUCAGGACUCCUAUAAGAGCAAGUAUUUUUCCAUGAAGACAAAGCAAUUCCUCCAUCUAUCACAAGAAAAAGAGGCAGAACAAAAAAAUUUUCUCUACUAUUGCCAGUAUGAGAUUGAGAUGUGUACAAUAUUAUGGAGAAAGAAGAUCCAGAGGGGAUUCUCUCUUUUGGAUCAGAAGAUCAGCAAUCAGAUUCUGGUGAAAAAAAGUUUGCUGUUGAGAGAUCUUCUCAAAAAUGAGGCACAGAAUGCUCUUAUACACAACAAGUUUUCAGCAGCAUGACAGGUAAUUUAAAAACGCAGUAUCCAGCGGCAGUGAAACAUACAGCACCUCCUCUAUUACGUGAACAGAAACAGUGUACCUGGUAGGGAGUGACCAAGAAUGUGGUAAUUGCAACAAGCCAGAAGAGUUUCAGGAGCAAACUGCAGGAAAAAAUAAAAGCAACAGUAUGUCUUUCGAGGUGGUCCUGAGCCCACAGCCAAACGUAAUGUUAACGAUGAGGAUUAGAGUGAAGCAGGUUCUUGCUUUGUGACUUCCCUGCUAAUAGCAGCUAUACUUUACAAGAGCAGUCAAGGCAGAUCUAACCUUGCUCCUACUUCAGCUGAGGGGAUCUCUUUGAUAGGCUCCAAUGGAAGACCCUUGGAAGAGCCAAGCCAUGAUCCAAGGCAAUUUGGGAUCCUUUAGACUUAGCCAGGUACAGUAACAACAAGGCCAGCAUUCACGUGUGGUUAGCUGUAAUCUGACUCUGUCACUCACCACUUCACAUCACUGGUGUUAUGCUCCCGCCCCCCCACAGCACACUGACAAGUCCUCCUGUGUGACAAAGUCCCAGUGUGACCCACUGUAAAUGGCAGCAACGCCAUGUAGCACAAGCUUGUCCCAGAUUUUCCCAGUUCAGUGUUGGGGGGGAGGGGAAGGGGCACGAGGGAAGUUUCUAAUGUGGUUUCCCCCUUUCUUUCCUUGUGACAAAAUGUUAAUUCGGAUGAGGCUCGUACAUGUCUGAGCACAAAGCAGUGACUGAAGGCAGAAGUUCUCUCUCUCAAGAGAGAGAGUCUCUCGAUUUGCCUGGCCUUAAUAAAAUAGUCACCACAGGACAAAACAGAAAGGCCUUAAGCUCCUCUGUACGCAGCCUCCCAAAUUCUGCUGUAUUUGCUGAGUCCUGUCCAUCCCUGCCUCAGCUCACGACUGACAAGGCAUCUGGCUUUCUUUCAGCUCGCAGCCCCACAUGCCAGCUGGCCACCAGACCUGUCCGUGGAUGCAGCAGAAGUGAGUCUCUGCCCCUCCCCAGCUGCCUCUCCCUCUUUCCACUGAAGGACCUGCUGAUAGUUUUCCACCAAUUUCAAAUCCAGCCAGCUCAGUCAGCAGGCUACUCUUGCCAGUCCUCACCCUGACUGAGAUUUUGUGUUGAAAGUCCUCUUCCUUGCUUGGGUUCUCCCUACUAAAAAGAACUAUGCAUGUUCCUGAUCCACCUGACUUGGGCUUAGUGGUAGUCUUUUCCGUGGGGUUGCGUAUGCACGAGUAAACCUGAACCAAGAGCAUAUAUCUCUAGCAAGACCAAAAGGCAACACUGUUUGUGCCUACUGCAAGGUUGCCAGAAUUCACAGAAUCACAGAAUGGUUUAGAUUG